rnacentral:tRNA from 1 species
GGGCGAUUAGCUCAGUUGGUAGAGCAGCUGACUCUUAAUCAGCCGGUCACAGGUUCGAGCCCUGUAUCGCCCA